AAUGAACGUUGGCGGCGUGGAUUAGGCAUGCAAGUCGAGCGAGAACCCGCAAGGGGGACAGCGGCAAACGGGGUAGGAAUGGUCGGUAACGUACCCUUCGGACGGGGAUAGCCACGGGAAGCUGUGGGUAAUACCCGAUAACCUCCUUUCUUGUAACGGAGAGAGGAGCAAAGGUGAGAUUCCACCGGAGGAGCGGCUGACUUAGUAUUAGCUAGUUGGUGAGGUAAAAGCUUACCAAGGCAUCGAUGCUUAGGGGGGUGUGAGAGCAUGGCCCCCACCACUGGGACUGAGAUACUGCCCAGACACCUACGGGUGGCUGCAGUCGAGGAUCUUCGGCAAUGGGCGCAAGCCUGACCGAGCGACGCCGCGUGUGGGAUGAAGGCCCUUGGGUUGUAAACCACUGUCAGGGGGGACGAAAUGCGCGCGGGUACUCCCGUGCGUUUGACAGAGCCCCAGAGGAAGCACGGGCUAAGUUCGUGCCAGCAGCCGCGGUAAU
rnacentral:rRNA from 1 species